rnacentral:rRNA from 1 species
GACGAACCGUGCGAACGUUAUUCGGAAUCACUGGGCUUAAAGCGCGUGUAGGCGGGUGGGAACGUCGGCCGCUGAAAUCCCCCGGCUCAACCGGGGGAAGGGGCGCCGAAACGGCCCGCCUGGAGGGACGUAGGGGGGAGCUGGAACUUCCGGUGGAGCGGUGAAAUGCGUUGAGAUCGGAAGGAACGCCCGUGGCGAAAGCGAGCUCCUGGACGUUUCUGACGCUGAGACGCGAAAGCCAGGGGAGCG